rnacentral:lncRNA from 1 species
UCAUUUUAACAGGUAUAGAUGGUGACUGUUGGUGACCUGUUGGUGACUAGUUGCUGACUCAGUGUGUUCCUGUUGGUGACUCAGUUUCUCAGAUUGGGUUCAGAUGACAGUUGACCAGUUGACUUUGGGUUUCAGACGGUUGUGAUCAGAGUUCGAGCCGAAGCUUCGAUCCUGUGUCCAGAUAUGCACAGCUUGCCAGUCGUGUCUGCAUCAUGUGCAUCAUAGCAUGUUUAUUUUUCAAAAGAAACGCAAUCAACAAAAAAAAAAGAAUCAAUAAAAAAAUUGAAAAAAAAGAGAAAAAAAAAAUGAUCCCUGCAUGCAUAUCAUUUCUCAGGUACAUUCCAGAGCUUGUUCACUGAUAG